rnacentral:tRNA from 1 species
GUAAGUAUAGUUUAACCAAAAUAUCAGAUUGUGAUUCUGAAGAUAGGGGCUAAAACCCCCUUACUCACC